rnacentral:tRNA from 1 species
UCCCUGGUGAUCUAGUGAUUAGGAUUCCAGGCUUUCACUGCCUGUGGCCCAGGUUCAAUCCCUGGUCAGGGAG